UUUUAUAUGUGUCAACUAAGGUGAUUAAUUGUAUAUUCAUAACAAAGAUUGCCCAGGUUCACAUCGCAACUUCAGUGUGUCUUAAGGAAAUCACAAAGUUGUACAAAGACUUUACCCAUAACGCAUCAGUUAUUUCUAUUUUCAUGAUAUCAUUUGAUCAUACGGCAUCAGAAUUGGCCACCAUUUACAAGUUUACUCCCCACCACAACCAAAGCAAGGUGGCCACCAAC